UACGUAGGUGGCAAGCGUUGUCCGGAUUUACUGGGCGUAAAGAGCGCGCAGGCGGUCAGAUAAGUCGAAUGUGAAAGCCCCCGGCUCAACUGGGGAGGGUCAUUCGAUACUGUUCGACUCGAAGGCAGGAGAGGGAAGUGGAAUUCCCGGUGUAGUGGUGAAAUGCGUAGAUAUCGGGAGGAACACCAGUGGCGAAGGCGACUUCCUGGCCUGUUCUUGACGCUGAGGCGCGAAAAGCUAGGGGAGCAAACGGGG
rnacentral:rRNA from 1 species